rnacentral:tRNA from 1 species
GGUAGCUCAGUGGUAGAGCGCUUGCCUUGCAUGCACGUGGCUCUGGGUUCGAUUCCUCAGUACCA